rnacentral:rRNA from 1 species
CUCCCGUAGGAGUACUCCUACGGGAGGCAGCAGUGGGGAAUUUUGGACAAUGGGCGCAAGCCUGAUCCAGCCAUGCCGCGUGCAGGAUGAAGGCCUUCGGGUUGUAAACUGCUUUUGUACGGAACGAAAAGUCUCUUUCUAAUAAAGAGGGAUCAUGACGGUACCGUAAGAAUAAGCACCGGCUAACUACGUGCCAGCAGCCGCGGUAAUACGUAGGGUGCAAGCGUUAAUCGGAAUUACUGGGCGUAAAGUGUGCGCAGGCGGCCGCGCAAGUCGAGUGUGAAAGCCCCGGGCUCAACCUGGGAAUGGCAUUGGAAACUGGCGGACUCGAGUGUGGCAGAGGGGGGUGGAAUUCCGCGUGUAGCAGUGAAAUGCGUAGAUAUCCGGAGGAACACCAGUGGCGAAGGCGGCUCACUGGACCACAACUGACGCUGAUGCGCGAAAGCUAGGGGAGCAAACAGGAUUAGAUACCCUGGUAGUCCUAGCCCUAAACGAUGAUCGCUUGGUGUGUCGGGUACCCAAUCCCGACGUGCCGCAGCUAACGCGUUAAGCGAUCCGCCUGGGGAGUACGGUCGCAAGGGUAAAACUUAAAGGAAUUGACG